GACGGAAGGUGCGGGCGUUAUUCGUUUUGAUUGGGUGUAAAGGGUGCGUAGGCGGUUGUUUAAGUUUGGUGUGAAAUCUCCCGGCUCAACUGGGAGGGUGCGCCGAAUACUGAAUGACUAGAGUGCGGGAGAGGAGAGUGGAAUUCCUGGUGUAGCGGUGAAAUGCGUAGAUAUCAGGAGGAACACCGGUGGUGUAGACGGCUCUCUGGACCGUAACUGACGCUGAGGCACGAAAGCGUGGGUAGCAAACAGG
rnacentral:rRNA from 1 species